rnacentral:rRNA from 1 species
AUACGUAGGGAGCGAGCGUUGUCCGGAAUUACUGGGCGUAAAGGGCGCGUAGGCGGCGCUUCAAGUCGUCUGUCAAAUGGGAGGGCUUAACCCUUUUUCGCAGACGAAACUGGAGAGCUUGAGAAGCAGAGAGGCAAACAGAAUUCCUGGUGUAGCGGUGAAAUGCGUAGAUAUCAGGAAGAAUACCAGUGGCGAAGGCGGUUUGCUGGCUGCAUACUGUCGCUGAAGCGCGAAAGCCAGGGGAGCAAACGGGAUUAGAUACCCCGGUAGUCCUGGCAGUAAACGAUGUAUGCUGGGUGUGAGACUAGCGAUAGUUUCGUGCCGAAGUUAACGCGAUAAGCAUACCGCCUGGGGAGUACGGUCGCAAGAUUGAAACUCAAAGGAAUUGACGGGG